rnacentral:rRNA from 1 species
ACAACACUAUACAGUGGAUCAUUUGGCUCGGGGGU